rnacentral:rRNA from 1 species
UACGGGGGGGCAAGCGUUGUUCGGAAUUACUGGGCGUAAAGGGCUCGUAGGCUGCCAACUAAGUCAGACGUGAAAUCCCUCGGCUUAACCGGGGAACUGCGUCUGAUACUGGAUGGCUUGAGAUUGGGAGAGGGAUGCGGAAUUCCAGGUGUAGCGGUGAAAUGCGUAGAUAUCUGGAGGAACACCGGUGGCGAAGGCGGCAUCCUGGACCAACACUGACGCUAAUGAGCGAAAGCCAGGGGAGCAAACGGG